UCCAUAAGGGGAUUCCAUAGGGGAUUUGUGGGUGAUCCAUAGGGGAUCCCUAAGGGAUUCUAAAGGGGAUCCAUGGGGGGAUCUAUAGGGGAUUCCAUGGGGGAUCUAUAGGGGAUUCCAUGGGGGAUCCAUAAGGGGAUUCCAUGGUGGCCCCAUGGGGGAUCUAUGUGGGAUCUAUUGGGGUUUCAUGGGGGAUCUAUAGGGAACCCAUAAGGGGAUUCCAUAGGGGAUUUGUGGGUGAUCCAUAGGGGAUCCCUAAGGGAUUCUAUAGGGGAUCCAUAGGGGGAUCCAUAGGGCCCUGCAGCCCAGCGGGGGGCGCUGUCCCGUGCGCCGCCCCCUAUAGGGCGCCUAUAGGGCACAGCAAGGCCGGGGUCACCUACGGCCGGGGCAGCCGGACACAGCCCCGGCACACGCCGGCCCCUACACACCCUAUAGGGGACUCACCCUAUGGGGGACUCAUCCUAUAGGGGACUCAUCCUAUAGGGGACUCAUCCUAUAGGGAAACCCUACACAUUCUGUAGGGGAAUCGGAUAGGGGAACCCUACACAUUCUAUAGGGGAAUGAUCCCAUAGGGGACUCGUCCUAUAGGGAAUCCUAUAGGGCAACCCUACACAUUGUAUAGGGGACAGGAGCUCCUGAAUCCCCUAUAGGAGAUCCCAAAUUCCCCUAUGGAAAAUCCCAAAUCCCCCUAUGGAAAAUCCCAAAUCCCCUAUGGAAAAUUCCAAAUUCCCCUAUGGAAAAUCCCUAUGGACGAAGGCUCCGGAUCAGAGCUCAGGUGCGUCGCCCCCUCCCCUCCGAAGAACCCAGCGCUGCCAAACGACUCCUGGUGCUGCUCUUGGCCGUGGUGGGCACCCAAAUCUACAACGCGCCGGGGGACGUCGGCGUCACCGAUGUCAUCACCGAUGUCACUGAGACCCCUUUGGGGACACCCAGGACCCUCCCAAUUCCAGAGGAGCCCCAAAUUCCCGCCGGGAACGCCGGGAUAGCCAACGGGACGACGCCGGUGGCGCCCGUGGGUGGCUCCUGUCCCUCUCUGUGGGUGUCACCUCCUUUGUCACCCCCCGGUGGCACCCAGGACUGGCACCCCCCUCUCAUCCUGGCUUAAUUAACCUUAAUUAAUUAAGGUCGAAGAGCUCCGGGUCGGAAGGAGACACCGACGUUGGGAUUCGGAAGCUGAGCCAUCCCAGUUUGGCACUGGGAGCACUGGGAAAGGGGGUGGAGCCAUGGAUUUUCCCAUCCCUUCAUUAAUUAGCUGGCUAAUUACCCUCUUAAUUAAUGACCGGCUCAUUAAUUAGCCCCCAGUUGAGGCGGGAACGAACCCGACGUUGGGAUUUGGAAGUUGGUCGAUCCCAGUUUGGCACUGGGAGCACUGGGAAGGGGCGUGGUCAGGGUGGCCUCGUUAACGAGGCUUAAUUAACGACGUCACCUCUACCUCAGCUUCAGCGCCGGUGGGUGCUGAGUUUAUGAAUUAAUUAUUUAAUAAUUAUUUAAUAAUUAUUUGUUGCUAUUUAUUUAUUAAUAUGUGUUCGCUAUUUAUUUGUUAUUUAUUAUUUAUUUGUGAAUAUUUAUUAAAUAUUUAUUAAUUACCUCCUAAAGAUUGUUUUUCAUUAAAUUUGACGGGGUAUUUAAUGUUUUUAAUUAAUGAAAUUCAUCAGUUGAAUUAAUUAAGGGGCGUCGUGUCUUUAUUGAGAGUUUCCUGUGGUCAGAACGAGGGGAGGAAAAUGACGGAAAUUCCCAAUUUUUUGGGAAUUCAAUCCCUAAAAUUUUUUGGGGGGAGGAAAAAAAAAAAAAACGGAAAAUCCCAAUUUUUUGGCAUUUUCAGCCCAAGCCGGAUUUUUAUUGACCCGACAAAGAAAAUACAAAGAAAUACAAAGUCACAAAAGUAACAAAAAACCAAAAAAAUUCCAUUAUUUCCUUAAAAAAAACAAACAAACAAAAAGUUAAAAAAAGCUCGAGUUCGCUCCCGUUUUUUGGGAAAAACCUGGAAAAUCCAAAGGAAAAUCCAGAUUUUCCUCCUAAACUCACAUUUGGUGGCAUUCAAGACCCAAACUUGGGAUUUUUUUCCCAAAUUUUUAUAUUUUCCUCAAAAUUCUAAUAUUCCCACAAAUUUUCCUGAUUUUUUUUUCCCCAAACUUUGAGGUUUUUUUCCACCAAUUCCGAGGCUUUUCCUGGAAUUAUGAGGGUUUUUUUCCCAACUUUCCAGGGUUUUUUCCUGGAAUUUUGAAUUUUUUUCACCCAAUUUUGGGUGGGUUUCCCAGAUUUCGGUGUUUUUCCCAAAUUUCCGCUGGGUUUUCCCAAGUUUUUUUGGGGUUUUUUUCCCCAAAUUUAAGAAUUUUUGGAGGGUUGGGAAGAGCCCCCAGUUUUGGGUUGGGCAAUCCCAGUUGGGCACUGGGAGCACUGGGAAUGCCGGGAAGUGACCGGAACCACGGAAUGCUGGGAAUUCCUCAAUGGAUUAAUGAAUGGAUUCACCCCUAAUUAAUUAAUUAGAGAUCGUUAAUUAGCCAAGGGAACGAGUUGGGACCAAUCCCAACGUUGAGUCUUGGGAUCGACCAAUCCCAGUUGGGCACUGGGAGCACUGGGAAUGCUGGGAACCACGGAAUGCUGGGAAUUCCCCACUUAAUUAAUGAAUUAAUGAAUGAAUUCAUCGCUAAUUAAUUUGAGAUCAUUAAUUAGCCACAGGAACGAGUUGGGACCAAUCCCAACAUUGAGUCUUGGGAUUGACCAAUCCCAGUUGGGCACUGGGAGCACUGGGAAUGCCGGGAAGUGACCGGAACCAUGGAAUGCUGGGAAUUCCCCACUUAAUUAAUGAAUUAAUGAAUAAAUUCACCGCUAAUUAAUUUGAGAUCA
ensembl:lncRNA immediate early response 3